GACGAACGCUGGCGGCGUGCUUAACACAUGCAAGUCGAACGGAAAGGCCCUGCUUUUGUGGGGUGCUCGAGUGGCGAACGGGUGAGUAACACGUGAGUAACCUGCCCUUGACUUUGGGAUAACUUCAGGAAACUGGGGCUAAUACCGGAUAGGAGCUCCUGCUGCAUGGUGGGGGUUGGAAAGUUUCGGCGGUUGGGGAUGGACUCGCGGCUUAUCAGCUUGUUGGUGGGGUAGUGGCUUACCAAGGCUUUGACGGGUAGCCGGCCUGAGAGGGUGACCGGCCACAUUGGGACUGGGAUACGGCCCAGACGCCUACGGGAGGCAGCAGUGGGGAAUAUUGCACAAUGGGCGGAGGCCUGAUGCAGCAACGCCGCGUGCGGAAUGACGGCCUUCGGGUUGUAAACCGCUUUCGCCUGUGACGAAGCGUGAGUGACGGUAAUGGGGAAAGAAGCACCGGCUAACUACGU
rnacentral:rRNA from 1 species